rnacentral:lncRNA from 1 species
AAGACCUUGGUCGUUACUAUGUUUUGUUUCCUGAUGAUCAGUAGUGGAGCCCAGUUGGGACGAUCGGGGAUCUAGCAUUUGGGGUUGUCUUCUUUUAUUUUGGUUCCGUAGUCGGACCUUGAUUGUACUCUGAAUGAUGUAUGUUUAAUUUAUGUAUUGUGUGUAGUGGCGAUUGUAAGCCAACUCUUUAUCCCAUUCUUGUUCAUUACAUGGGAUUGUGUGAAGAUGACCCUUCUUGCGACAAAACCACCAUGCGGUUAUGCAUCCAAGUCGUGCCUCGACAUGUGGGAGAUAUAGCCGCAUCGUGGGCGUUACAAGUUGGUAAUCAAAGCCAUCCGCGACUUAGGAGCCCCCUGCUUGAUUGAAUCAUUGGCGCUGUUGAGUCUAGAACAAAAAUGUUUUGAGUCUUAGGAUUAUAUAUAUCGGAGAGUAGGAUUCUUUUUACUCCCCAGUCCCUUCGUCGCUCUGGUGAGGCCUCCUGACGUAGAUGUUUUGACUUUCCUCUCCUCAAAUUUCACUAAAAAAAAUUUAGGAUCACGCGGGUAUCUUGGAAUAGUUCCGAUGGUUUUGUGACGAGAACAUUGUUCUUGGUGCCUCCUGACAUUUAGGGGUUGUGGCAGUGUCCCGGGGAGUUGAGCUCCGAGGUGUUGUCGUCACAAUUUUAUCGGUGCAGUUCUGGAAUACCUGAGUUUUGCCGACAUCGAAAAUCUCUUUUAUGCAGUUUGUUGGUGAGAUCACCUCGACACCACCCAGUACUGGGGCGGGAGUUAGGGAGUAUUGCCAUAACUCGUAUAACGGAUGCUUUUCGAAGGUUGAGAUACACGAUUUCUAGAGUUUUUCUUGGUUAUGUGUUGACGGAUGGAUAUAGCUGGAUCUAGGUAUUGUUAGUUUGGGUAAGAUAUAUUGCAUCCCCUAUAUCCCCAACACCUGAUUGCAUAACCAGAAUGUUUCGGGAGUUCAUAGGUGGGAAUUCAAGUAGCUCCUAGAAUAUCUUUUCGACGGAUGUAUGAUUUGAGAUUGGGGUCCAACGUCUAGUGGUUCGCUUUUCACGGUCGAUUUACAGUGGUCGCGAGGCUUCUUAAAGAAUCCUUGGCUAUGCCGAUUCGGGGACGUCUUGUUUGUCAUUUGUGACGUCCGCUGUACGUCGUGCCCGUGGGGCCUCAUCAUGAACACUUUGGGCGAAAUCUCUAUCAUAUGUUUGUUUCCGGCUUAUUCUGCGAGCCAAUCCUUUGUUUUGUUUUGGUUUGUGGUAUUCGAGUUGCUUCAUUGUCUGGUGUUGAUUACAUACCUUUUCUAAGCCAUGUUCUCAUAUUUCUAUGUGGAUGCUAAUCCUUCUUGAUCAUCAAGGUUGUCUUUUCAAUUCUUUUCAACCGGUGUGCUUCUCUUCAAGUGGACCCGAUCAUUGCAACAUUCGCAAGAUCAUCCCUCAGUUUUUCUCAACGGUGUUUGUUUCAACCGUCCCAAGUUGCCUUUGUUUUUCCCUCCCUCCCACCCUUUUCAUCAAGGACUCAUAUAUCCCUAACCAAGUAUCCAUUUUAUUGAGUGAAGUUCUUCAUUCUUUUCCUUUAAUGUUUUUAUCCGGUGAUUUCUCAUGAAGACGCUAAGGAAGCUUCAACCUUAUCAUUGUUCCAUUCUAAUUUUCUUCUCCGAUGGAUUUAAUUCAAGAUUUCAGUGUUGAUCUUAUCCCUUUUCCUCUUUUCACAAUGCUUUUCCAUUCCGGUGCACCAAUUAAUCAUUCACCUCUCGCUAUUCAUUUGUUCCGGUGUACUAAAGAUAUUGCAGGAGAUUCGUGUUUUCAUUCCUAAUCCGUUCAAGAUAUCUCGAAGUUGUUAUCCCUUUUGAGCCAUUUUAUUAAACCGGCGUAAUCUCUCUUCUAAAUCGUUCAACGGUGUAUCUUUUGAGUGGGCCCUAACCCACACAUCUUUUCCAGGAUCUUACCUGACUCUUCUAAUUUUCCCGGAGCUUCUAAAAUUCUUUUCAAAGUUUGACGUAAGAAUGGGUUAUCAUCAGUCAUAUGUCUUUCUCCAAGAUCUUUGAAUUUUUUUUUCAUCGUUGGUUAAACCUUUCUAAUUUUCAUUCCAGAGUGCCUCAACAAUUCAUGGUGUUGUUUCUCGUCGUCAUUCUCGGAUUGUGAAGACCGAAGAAGAGUUUCUCUCAAAUCUUGGUCCGUUCUCUCAAAGAUUCAGGGUUCUAGCUUGAUGCCAUCCUCUCAUAAUUGUUCUUGAUUGUGAGAAAUCUUUUCACCCAUCCGGAGCAAUUCAGGAGUCUUUUUAAUUUGAUUCUCCGGAGCCCAUCAUCUCAGAAUUAUUCAUUCCAGUCUUCAUCUCUCGUUCUCCAAAUCUUACCGGUGCAUCGCUCAAGUAUUCCCUACUCAGCUCGUGAUCUCUUCAUUCUCUUGUAUCUAAAUUUCCCCAAGUAUCUUUGUUCAAUUUAUAAUUCUUCCUGGUGAUUCGCGCUCUUUCCUUCGUGCGUUUGAAGUUCUUACGGUGGUUCAUUCAAGAUUUCUCUUCCUUCGUUAUCGUAUCAAAUCAUUCGUUCUUUCAAAUCCUAUCGACGAUUUGUGGAAGACCUUAUUCAAGUUUGUGCUAUAUCUCUCUUAAUACUUUAUACGAGAAUAAGUAGUAUGCCAAAUCCGUUGCUUGUCAUCAAUUUAUAUUGGUGAAGGAUACGCAUAAAAUAAUUCUUGUUCUUGUUUCAUCCAAGUGAUUAAUUCCUUCUUCCGGAGUUCGUAGUGAUAUCAAUUUCUCAGUUAUAUGUUGUUCAUCUUUCUUUUCCGGAGUUCCAAGUUUUCUGCAUUAUCUCAUCGCGAAGCUCCAUCUACAUCAUCGCAAGGCUUCACCUUGUGUUGUCAACUUCUCUUUCUUUGAUCAUCCUUUCAUUACCGGAGUUCUUCAUGGAGGUUCACAUGGUGGUUCGUCAAGGAUUCUUUUCAUUUUUCAAUUGUUCUUCAAGAUUUCUCUCGAAGUUAUGAUCCAUCAAGCCAUACUUCAAAAUAAACAUGGUGCUCAACACAUGUUUUGUUUUGAGGAGUUCAAGCAUUCUUCAUCUUGCAUUCUGAAGUGCAAUUCUUCCUACCUUAUCUUUUGAGGUGGUGUUAUGUCCUUCUUGACAAUUUCCAUCCAUGUUCCAUGUUUCACAUGUUGUCAAGAAUGAGAUAUUUUAAAUCCACCAAUCUCUUCGUUUGAGUUAUCUUGUGUCAUGUUUCACCUAAAGUCUUCCCUAAGGAAUGUUGCUAUUAUGGUGCUCAUCAAUGAUCCAAGUUUUCUCCUAUCCUCUUGGUGAAAGAAGUUUUUCAUCGCCUUGGUGCUCUCACUCAAAUCAAUGGCUUCCUUUAGUGGCCGUUUGUCACCUCAUAUUGUUGGGAUGUUUCCAUAAGCCUGCUACAAGCUUAUUCCUUUCGUUGUUGGUUUUCCAACAACUCCGUUAUAACCUUCUUCGAAGGGUGCUUUCCAAGCUCAUUUGUGGCAGAAAUUGGCAUUUCCUUCUACAUUCUUUUAUUCCAAUGAUCUAUCUUCUAUUCUCUCUUCCAGAGGCAAUGUGAUGUUGCUCUCUUCGCUCAUCAUCUCGAAUUGUGAAGAUCGUGUUCUUUUCGUGCUUAUCCAUUUAACCGGAGUGUUGUGUCAUCUCUUCAAGUUCUUUUCAUCUUAUCAAGUCUUGCAUCUCUUUUCAACCGGAGUGCUGUCCAAAUUUGUUCUUCCUUAUUCCUUGUUUAUCUCGUUUCAACCAGAGUGGUUCCGAUUCCUUCUUGUCCAUUGUACUCGUCAUUCAUAGCUUUGCAACCUCCAAGGUUCAUAUGGUGUUCCUUGUUUCUAUUUUCUACGGCAGUGCUACAAUUGCGUUCAUUUCCAUUGUGUUCUUUCUUUCAACCUUUCAACCUCUCAAGGUUCUUUGGUUUCACUCGUUUGUCAAAGAGGCAACUUUGUUUUACCUAUUGCUCUUCCGUUUCUCUCCGGUGCCAUCCCUAGAUCUCGGGACGAGAUCCUCUUGUAGUGGUGGAGUGUUGUAACACCCCAAGACCGACGCUCCAGACGCCUUCCUUGUUUUUCGUUAUCGUCGUGUGUAUUUAUUUGUUUGUUGCAUUUCAUCAUGGCAUCAUCCGCAUUGCAUCGGCACUGGUUGCCGUCAUUGUUUUUAAAACUUGCGUCCCCCUUGUUUUCGUUGACCGUUCCGAGACCAACAAUAUUCUUCGUUUUCCCUCUUGCCUAAACCGGAGUCUCUUUGCACAGUGCUCAGACCGCUCGCGCAUGUCCGAAGCUGUCCCGAACCCGACCCGGGCUGUCAUGACCGAUGAAUCCGGAUCAUCCUCGAACAUUCCUAAAACAUCACCGGUUUCUCAUUUGGACUCUCUAGUCUAUUUAUCGGGGACCGUCCGAUUAAGUUCGUAAGGUCCUAUCUAGCCCCUAAGCUACCCCUUGCUAUAUAAAUAGUCUAAACUCCUCAUCCAUUCCUCCCCCUAUCCAAUCGCCGCCGCCACACUCCACCUCCCCCCUCGGGAUCUCCUCCCGAUCCAAAUUCUCUCCGACCAAGUCCCUUGUUUUCCGCCGCCGCCCAAUCCAUCCAUCCAGCCCGCAACAGUGUCUCCCCUUGAUGGCUCCAUCGCUCAUGCUCGAGCCCCUCUGCCUCGAUCCACCAGGCGCCUGGAUCGCAGCAACCAACGCACAGGAGAGGAGCUCCUUGAUCCCCUUGACCCCGACCUCUGCGCCCACGGCCUCCUCCCCGUCCCCUUGGAGCCCGAGCAUGCCAGCACCUCCUAGCGCCGCUGCCGGCGACCUCGCCGAACCAGGCCACCCCGGCCAGCCUUCCGCCACCUGCAGGCCAACCCCGUCGCCGCUCCUUCCCUGCUCCUCUUCCUUCCUUCUCCUCCCAACCUUACCUCGUUUUCCCCUGUCUGUUUUCUCCAUGGACAGGGAGCGCCAGGGCAUCUGCUUCAAACCUCUACGCCGCCCGGAGCUCGUCGACGCCGGCCAGAUCCGACACCCUGGAGACCCGCAUCCCCGCCGGACCUCCUUCCUCUGCGCCAAGUCUGCCCGCCAUGGCCCGUUUCGCCUCGACCUCAACCGAGGAGAACAAGCAGCGCUGCUGCCUUCUUCAGUUCCGCCCGCACGCCACCUCGCCGAAGAACGCUGUCCUCGCCCGGAUCCCCGUGCCCUGCCAUCUCGUCCAUGCCGGCGAGUUCCUCCCGCGUCGUUGUCUUCUCUGCAUCAAGCCGUGCCGCCGCGCCAAGUACCCUGAAUCGCGCCCAGCCGCCGUCGCUCGAACCUGCCUGCUUCCAUGACCCGCGCUCGCCUCGAGAGGAAGAGUCAACGCACGAGCGACUCGCGCGUGUUCUAGAUCUAGUGAACCGGCCCAGCCUCCCGAAGCCCAGCCGCUUCUUCGCUUCCAGCCCAGUGGCCCGAUGUAAGCAGCCGCUUAAACCCCUCCUGUACAUUGUUGGGCUAGACAGUUUCAGCCCGUGGACGUUUUUUCCCUUGGGUUAUGCAGACUGAAGGGUCAUCUUUAUUUUAACCCCCCGGGCCAUUGUUCCUCUGAGUGCUGGUCCAAACCGGGCGAUGUCCGGCGCCCCCUGGGCAACCAGGGUCUAUGCCAACCCGACGUCUGGCCCAUCCGAUGUGCCCUGAGAACGAGAUACGUGCGACUCCUAUCGGGAUUUGUCAGCACAUCGGGCGACUUUGCUGGUCUUGUUUUACCAUUGUCGAAAAGUCUUGUAACCGGGAUUCCGAGACUGAUCGGGUCUUCCCGGGAGAAGGAAUAUCCUUCGUUGUCCGUGAGAGCUUGUGAUGGGCUAAGUUGGGACACCCCUGCAGGGUAUAAACUUUCAAGAGCCGUGCCCGCGGUUAUGUGGCAGAUGGGAAUUUGUUAAUAUCCGGUUGUAGAGAACGUGACACUUGACUUAAUUAAAAUGCAUCAACUGCGUGUGUAGCCGUGAUGGUCUCUUUUCGGCGGAGUCCGGGAAGUGAACACGGUUCUUGUGUUACGUUUGAACGUAAGUAGUUUCAGGAUCACUUCUUGAUCACUUCUAGCUUCGCUCUCAUUUGCGUAUGUUAGCCACCAUAUAUGCUUAGUGCUUGCUGCAGCUCCACCUCACUACCCUUUCCUACCAUAAGCUUAAAUAGUCUUGAUCUCGCGGGUGUGAGAUUGUUGAGUACUCGUGACUCACAGAUUCUACCAAAACAGUUGCAGGUGCCGGUGAUACCAGUGCAGAUGACGCAACCGAGCUCAAGUGGGAGCUUGAUGAAGACCUUGGUCGUUACUAUGUUUUGUUUCCUGAUGAUCAGUAGUGGAGCCCAGUUGGGACGAUCGGGGAUCUAGCAUUUGGGGUUGUCUUCUUUUAUUUUGGUUCCGUAGUCGGACCUUGAUUGUACUCUGAAUGAUGUAUGUUUAAUUUAUGUAUUGUGUGUAGUGGCGAUUGUAAGCCAACUCUUUAUCCCAUUCUUGUUCAUUACAUGGGAUU